CCACAUCAGCUGAGAAGGCAUUUGUGAAAUGUAGAGAUCAAAAUUGAAUUCUUUGUCAAGGCUGUUUUUAGAUGCACAAUCUUCUUUUUAUAGACUCAAUGUUAUUAUUGAGUGGGGAAAUCCCAUUUUCUCAUAUAUUUAUUUGGAAAAGUCACUCCAAUAGUUUUGAAUCAAGGGAUUGCUAGAAGAGCAGGGGAAGUUAAAGGGAAUCUUUUCUACCCCAUGGUUUCUAGUGCAGUAGAUUCUAAGGAUGUCUGUAACUCAAAUCUCAAGAUAUAUAGCUAUUCAUAUAAGAAUGUAUUUAAUAUAGAUUCUCAUUUUUUGUGUUUCCAGCAUUUCAAUGUUGUGGACUUCUCAACUAACCUAAGUGCUUGUUUGUCUGCUUAUGAUGUAAGAGAUACCAAUUUUUGCGUUGCAUCGGUUAUAUGGUAGCUUUUUGUAAACUUUCUUUAUGCUGAAUUGUUGAAGUUACUGAUGUUGCUAUACAAAAUAGUGAUACAUGAGAUAAUGCAAAUUGCUUAAGGUUUUGUUAAGUUUAUUUUGUAAUCCUUCAUAUCUUUCUAUUUUUAGAAUUAGUUGUAAAGGAGUGGAGAAGGUUUCUUUAAUACUUAAGUGUGGAAGAUAAACAUACUUGAUUUAUGGAGGUUUGUUAACAAACUUUUAUUUAAAAUGAUGAUUGAAUAUCAGCUCAAUAAGAAUGAAGUUAACCUUCUCUCCUUCACGCAUUGCUCAGUUUUCUUUAAGAAAUCAGUCCUUUCUUUUCAAACUUCCAACAAAUGAUAUUAUCAGAGCAUUCUUCAUUUUGUGGGACUGUGAGAGUAUUUGAGAGAAAUCCACUAAACAAUCCAGUUUCAAUCAAUCUUUGAGUCUUAGCUUCACUUUCAAUGGCUUUCAGCAGCACUUCCCUUUCACCUCCUCAAUCCAAUGGUGAGAAUUAUCAUGUUUGGGCUCCGAGAAUGAGAGCUAAUGUUGCUUCUCUCCUACAUCCAUGCUGCUGUUGCAGAUUCAAUCUUCACCAGCAUCAUGGCAUGUCAAACUGCUCAUGAAGCUUAGGAAAAGUUGAAAACAGAGUAUCAAGGGUCUGACAAGACAAGGCCGAUGCAGGUUUUAAUUUAAAGAAAGAAUUUAAGCUAUUGAUGAUGAAGGAUGCAGAGAAAACAAAGGAUGAUUUUGAGAGAAGUAUGAAGAUAGUAAAUCAAAUCAGGUUGUUAGGAGAAGAAUUGGAAGAGAAGAGGAUUGUGGAGAAAGCAGUGGUAACUCUCCUUGAGAAAUUUGAAGUAAAAAUUCUCUCUUGAAGACACUUUGGACGUGUCUCAACUCAAAGAAAAGCCUUUAGAAAAGAAGGAAGUGCUGGUUAAAGUACUCUAGCAGCAUUAUAUAAAACUAGAGUUCAAGAAGAAAGAUCAAAAGGUCAAUCAAAUAACCGUAGGAACAAAUAUAGAAGAAAUGACAGAAGGAGAGGCAAAAGAGAUAAGAAUCCACCUUGCCGUUAUCGUAAAAGAACAAAUUACAGUGAAAAUUAUUGUUGUUACAGACAUGAAGCUCACUGUAAGAACUGUAACCAAUUUGGUCACGCUAAGAAGUUUUAGUUUUGGGUUUAUAAGAGAGGCCCACUGGCUCGGGUUUAGCAUCUUGGGUUUGAUAAAUUUUUCUUGGUUUUUAUAAUUUAAUAAAAUAAAAUAUGAGUUGCUGAUAGAAAAAAUAAAAGAAGGAUUGCAAAGCAACCUGAAGCUCAGCCUGGUCAAGCCAUUGAAAACUCAGAUCAUCAAGAAGAAAAUUUAUUUCCUGCCACAGAAAUUGAAAAAUGCAGUGUAUCUGUUAGAAGACAAAAAUGUGUAGCUAGUUGACAGUGGCUGCAAACACCACAUGAUAACAAGUUUGAUGAUCUUAAAAGGCUUGGACAGAAAUUUUUCAUCAAAGGUUAGACUUGGAAAUUGAAGACUUGAUGUUUAAGGCAAGGGAGGUGUUUGUGCAAGCUUCUUCAGGUAUAAGAAUUAUUUCAGAUUUCCUUUAUGUUCCUAAAACUGAUCAAAGUUUGCAGUCUGUUGGUCAAUUUUAAAAAAGAUUACAUAUUGGUAUUAAAAGAUAAAAUGUAUGACA
rnacentral:lncRNA from 1 species